CUACUUAGAUUAGAUUCAGUGUUUAUGCGCAUGCGCUUUUGCAUCUAUAAUUUCCUCUUCCCUGGAACGGAUUGUAACGUUACUGGAGUACAGUGAUAUUAGUUUUUAUUUCACGGUCUGUUGUUGCUCAUAAAGAGGAUUUCGAGUGUCUUUUAUGAGUAAUCAAAGGCAGCAGAAGCCUACGCUAACAGGCCAGCGUUUCAAAACCCGAAAAAGAGGUGA